rnacentral:rRNA from 1 species
GGUUCCAUGUGAACAGCCGUUGCACAUGGGUCAGUCGAUCCUAAGGUCUAGGGUAGUUCCGCUCCGAGCGGCGGCGCGCGCCCACCUCCACGGGUGGGCAAGCGCUCCCUGGCCGAAAGGGAAUCGGGUCAAUAUUCCCGAACCUGAAGGUGGAGCCCGCCGCCAGCUGGCGGUCAGAGCUGCAAAGCUAAUCGAGCCCGGAGACGCUGACCGGAGCCCCGGGAAGAGUUGUCUUUUCUUUGUAAGGGGCGCGGCUCCCUGAAACCGGCUGGAUCGGAGAGAGGGACCGCGGCCCCGUAGAGCGCCGCGUCUGGAGCGGCGUCCGGAGUUGCACCGGUCGGCCCUUGAAAAUCCGGGGGACGAGCGUGGACUCUCACCUCAGAUCGUACCCAUAACCGCAGCAGGUCUCCAAGGUGAACAGCCUCUGGUCAAUGGAACAAUGUAGGUAAGGGAAGUCGGCAAGCCGGAUCCGUAACUUCGGGAUAAGGAUUGGCUCUGAGGACUGGGUCGGUCGGGCCGGGGCUGGAAGCAGGCACGGACCCUCAGCGUGACUGGGCGAGCCGGUCCGAGGCCCGCAAACCUCCUCCUUCAUCGGGGGGGAGCGGUGCGCGGCGCCGAAAGGCUGGCGAACCCGGACUUUGCAUUGGGUCCGGCUCGUGGACCGUCCUGGCUGCGCGGCGGCCUCGCGCCGUCGCCUCGGCCGGCGCCAAACAGCCGGCUCAGAACUGGCACGGACCAGGGGAAUCCGACUGUCUAAUUAAAACAGAGCAUUGCGAUGUCCGCAACCCGGGCGUUGACGCAAUGUGAUUUCUGCCCAGUGCUCUGAAUGUCAAAGUGAAGAAAUUCAACGAAG